UACGUGAGGUCAGCAGUCGUUCGAUCGAAUUGUGGCGUAAAGAGCUCGUAGGCGGUUCGUUGUGUCGGCGGUGAAAGCCCCGGGCUUAACCUGGGAAUGGCCGUUGAAACUGGCGAACUGGAGUGUGGCAGAGGGGGGUGGAAUUCCGCGUGUAGCAGUGAAAUGCGUAGAGAUGCGGAGGAACACCGAUGGCGAAGGCAGCCCCCUGGGCUAACACUGACGCUCAGGCACGAAAGCGUGGGGAUCAAACAGG
rnacentral:rRNA from 1 species